GAACGCUGGCGGCGUGCUUAACACAUGCAAGUCGAGCGGAAAGGCCCUUCGGGGUACUCGAGCGGCGAACGGGUGAGUAACACGUGAGCAACCUGCCCUAGGCUUUGGGAUAACCCCGGGAAACCGGGGCUAAUACCGAAUAUGACCUUUCCUCGCAUGAGGGAAGGUGGAAAGUUUUUCGGCCUGGGAUGGGCUCGCGGCCUAUCAGCUUGUUGGUGGGGUGAUGGCCUACCAAGGCGACGACGGGUAGCCGGCCUGAGAGGGCGACCGGCCACACUGGGACUGAGACACGGCCCAGACUCCUACGGGAGGCAGCAGUGGGGAAUAUUGCACAAUGGGCGGAAGCCUGAUGCAGCGACGCCGCGUGAGGGAUGACGGCCUUCGGGUUGUAAACCUCUUUCAGCAGGGACGAAGCGUAAGUGACGGUACCUGCAGAAGAAGCGCCGGCCAACUACGUGCCAGCAGCCGCGGUAAGACGUAGGGCGCGAGCGUUGUCCGGAUUUAUUGGGCGUAAAGAGCUCGUAGGCGGC
rnacentral:rRNA from 1 species